GAUGAACGCUGGCGGCGUGUCUUAGGCAUGCAAGUCGAACGCCUCACUUCGGUGAGGAGUGGCAAACGGGUGAGUACGACAGUGGUAACCUACCCCAGAGUUACAGACAACCUUUCGAAAGGAAGGCUAAUCUGCAAUGGACUUACGCUUCUUAUGUGGUCGUAAGUAAAGCUCCGGCGCUCUGGGAGGGGCCUUUGGUUUAUCAGCUUGUUGGUGAGGUAAGAGCUCACCAAGGCUAUGACGAAUCGCGGGUGUGAGAGCAUGGCCCGCCACAUUGGGACUGAAACACUGCCCAAACUCCUACGGGAGGCUGCAGUCGAGAAUCUUCCGCAAUGCGGGAAACCGUGACGGAGCGACGCCGCGUGCCAGAAGAAGCCCUUCGGGGUGUAAAUGGCUUUUAUCAGGGAAAAAUCAGCGAUGGUACCUGAUGAAUAAGAGGUUGCUAACUACG
rnacentral:rRNA from 1 species